UUUGCUAAGGUCAAGUAUUACCCUUAGCAAUACAUAAGUAGCAUGUAGCA
rnacentral:sRNA from 12 species